UACGGGGGGAGCAAGCGUUGUUCGGAUUUACUGGGCGUAAAGGGCGCGUAGGCGGUUUGUACAGUCAGGUGUGAAAUCCCCAGGCUCAACCUGGGAACUGCGUCUGAUACUGGAUGGCUUGAAUCCGGGAGAGGGAUGCAGAAUUCCAGGUGUAGCGGUGAAAUGCGUAGAUAUCUGGAGGAACACCGGUGGCGAAGGCGGCAUCCUGGACCGGUAUUGACGCUGAGGCGCGAAAGCUAGGGGAGCAAACGGG
rnacentral:rRNA from 1 species